GCCCAGGUGCUGGAACUGGUAGACAGGCAUGGUUGAGGGCCAUGUGUUCUUUAGAGCGUAUGGGUUCGACUCCCAUCCUGGGCA
rnacentral:tRNA from 1 species